rnacentral:rRNA from 1 species
GUGGGGAAUAUUGGACAAUGGGCGAAAGCCUGAUCCAGCCAUGCCGCGUGUGUGAAGAAGGUCUUCGGAUUGUAAAGCACUUUAAGUUGGGAGGAAGGGUAGUAACCUAAUACGUUGCUACUUUGACGUUACCGACAGAAUAAGCACCGGCUAACUUCGUGCCAGCAGCCGCGGUAAUACGAAGGGUGCAAGCGUUAAUCGGAAUUACUGGGCGUAAAGCGCGCGUAGGUGGUUCAGUAAGUUGGAGGUGAAAUCCCCGGGCUCAACCUGGGAACUGCCUCCAAAACUGCAUGACUAGAGUACGGUAGAGGGUAGUGGAAUUUCCUGUGUAGCGGUGAAAUGCGUAGAUAUAGGAAGGAACACCAGUGGCGAAGGCGACUACCUGGACUGAUACUGACACUGAGGUGCGAAAGCGUGGGGAGCAAACAGGAUUAGAAACCCGGGUAGUCC